UCAAUGUUUAAGUCCUUAUCAGGGUCAGAAAUGAUGAUAGCCAUUAGAUCUCACCUCGGAUGGAAUCUGCGCCAUUGAUCAGCAUCCUAAAUUUUUUAUUCAAAGUCAGGAAUGAUGCCAGCCAUUAGAUCGAGCGAUGGAUCGAGUUUCGACCAUCCGAUUGCACCCAGAAAUCCUUCUUUUCAAUCGGUAAUGAAUGUGGACCGUCUGAUCUCCCUCAAAAUUGAUAUCAACCGUC
rnacentral:lncRNA from 1 species